UGCAGUCGAGGGGUAUAGGUUUUCGGACCUAGAGACCGGCGCACGGGUGCGUAACGCGUAUGCAAUCUACCUUUCACAAAGGGAUAGCCCAGAGAAAUUUGGAUUAAUACCUUAUAGUAUAUAGAGAUGGCAUCAUUUUUAUAUUAAAGAUUUAUCGGUGAAAGAUGAGCAUGCGUCCCAUUAGCUAGUUGGUAAGGUAACGGCUUACCAAGGCAACGAUGGGUAGGGGUCCUGAGAGGGAGAUCCCCCACACUGGUACUGAGACACGGACCAGACUCCUACGGGAGGCAGCAGUGAGGAAUAUUGGACAAUGGGCGCAAGCCUGAUCCAGCCAUGCCGCGUGCAGGAUGACGGUCCUAUGGAUUGUAAACUGCUUUUGCACAGGAAGAAACAACAUUACGUGUAAUGUCUUGACGGUACUGUGAGAAUAAGGAUCGGCUAACUCCGUGCCAGCAGCCGCGGUAAUACGGAGGAUCCAAGCGUUAUCCGGAAUCAUUGGGUUUAAAGGGUCCGUAGGCGGUUUAGUAAGUCAGUGGUGAAAGCCCAUCGCUCAACGGUGGAACGGCCAUUGAUACUGCUAAACUUGAAUUAUUAGGAAGUAACUAGAAUAUGUAGUGUAGCGGUGAAAUGCUUAGAGAUUACAUGGAAUACCAAUUGCGAAGGCAGGUUACUACUAAUAUAUUGACGCUGAUGGACGAAAGCGUGGGUAGCGAACAGGAUUAGAUACCCUGGUAGUCCACGCCGUAAACGAUGGAUACUAGCUGUUGGGAGCAAUCUCAGUGGCUAAGCGAAAGUGAUAAGUAUCCCACCUGGGGAGUACGUUCGCAAGAAUGAAACUCAAAGGAAUUGACGGGGGCCCGCACAAGCGGUGGAGCAUGUGGUUUAAUUCGAUGAUACGCGAGGAACCUUACCAAGGCUUAAAUGUAGAUUGACCGGUUUGGAAACAGACUUUUCGCAAGACAAUUUACAAGGUGCUGCAUGGUUGUCGUCAGCUCGUGCCGUGAGG
rnacentral:rRNA from 1 species